rnacentral:RNase_P_RNA from 2 species
AGCGGACUGCGCGGCCGCGGCGUAUCCUGAAUACGACGAGGAAAGUCCGGGCAUCGCAGGGCAGGACGCCUGAUAACGUCAGGUGAAGGCGACUUCAAGGAAAGUGCAACAGAAAUAGACCGCCGCCUUGGCGGCAAGGGUGGAAAGGCGAGGUAAGAGCUCACCGACGGGACGGUAACGCCCCGUGCCAUGUAAACCCCGUCCGAUGCAAGGUUGGGCUGCAUUCAUAUGGGUUGCCCGCCCGAAUGCAGCCGUGAACACCGCUUGAGCCUACCGGCGACGGUAGGCGUAGAUAAAUGACCGCGCUCGACAGAACCCGGCUUACAGGUCCGU